GAAAGAGAAUGGUAACUUGGUAGUGUUUAAAAUACAUAUUCAACAUUUUUUCGUUUAUUUUUAUGACUUUUGUACAGUAGUAUAAAUCGUCCACCCUUUGGAUGAAAAGCAAAUGAGUUAUCCGGAUUUUGUCUAUCCGAAACUAAAUCACUAGAAUCAACAUCCGGUAUAAUUUUGGCUUGUAUUUUCGAUUGAUUUCUAGCAAACUUGGUUUACCACUACAUCGUCGCUUAUUAUUAUUUGGUGCAGUAUCAUGUUCCUUAGAUGCAACCGUCCACUACAGCUGGGACUUUGCACAGCAGGUUCAUAUUUCACACCAUAGCGAACAGGUUGGACCCCUGUAUUUCAAAACUGCCAGGAGAUGUGAGGUAUUUGGAGUUUGCUGUGAAGGAUCUGAGAAUCAGGUGUUUUACCUUGGUGAUGAGGGUGUUGCCCCAGGCAAAGGAGCAAACACAGUUGUCAGCUACCUCCACCAUUACCUUGAAAACUACAG